rnacentral:snRNA from 1 species
AGCUUUGCGCAGUGGCAGUAUCGUAGCCAGUGAGGUUUAUCCGAUGCGCGAUUAUUGCUAAUUGAAAAUUUUUCCCAUAUCCCGCCAUGACGACUUGAAAUACAGUCGGUAUUGGCAAUUUUUGACAGUCUCUACGGAGA